rnacentral:rRNA from 1 species
ACGCUGGCGGCGUGCCUAAUACAUGCAAGUCGAACGCUGGAGAUCUAGCUUGCUAGAUCGAAGGAGUGGCGAACGGGUGAGUAAUACAUAAGCAACCUACCCACGAAGACUGGGAUAAUCUCUGGAAACGGGGACUAAUACCGGAUAGGUAAUCGGAAGGCAUCUUCUGGUUAUUAAAGGUUAAAAACACUGGUGGAUGGGCUUAUGGCGCAUUAGUUAGUUGGUGAGGUAACGGCCCACCAAGACGAUGAUGCGUAGCCGGCCUGAGAGGGUGAACGGCCACAUUGGGACUGAGACACGGCCCAGACUCCUACGGGAGGCAGCAGUAGGGAAUUUUCGGCAAUGGGGGAAACCCUGACCGAGCAACGCCGCGUGAGUGAUGACGACCUUCGGGUUGUAAAAGCUCUUGUUUGUAAGGGAAGAACGGUAGAUAGAGAAUAUCUAAGUGACGGUACCUUACCAGAAAGCCACGGCUAACUACGUGCCAGCAGCCGCGGUAAUACGUAGGUGGCGAGCGUUAUCCGGAAUUAUUGGGCGUAAAGGGUGCGUAGGCGGCCUGUUAAGUAAGUGGUUAAAUUGUUGGGCUCAACCCAAUCCAGCCACUUAAACUGGCAGGCUAGAGUAUUGGAGAGGCAAGUGGAAUUCCAUGUGUAGCGGUAAAAUGCGUAAAUAUAUGGAGGAACACCAGUGGCGAAGGCGGCUUGCUAGCCAAAGACUGACGCUCAUGCACGAAAGCGUGGGGAGCAAAUAGGAUUAGAUACCCUAGUAGUCCACGCCGUAAACGAUGAAUACUAAGUAUUGGGGAAACUCAGUGCUGCAGCUAACGCAAUAAGUAUUCCGCCUGUGGAGUAUGCACGCAAGUGUGAAACAUAAAGGAAUUGACGGGGGCCCGCACAAGCGGUGGAGUAUG